UUUUUUUUUUUUUUUAAUUUUUUGCUUUUUAGGGCCACACCCAUGGCACAUGGAAGUUCCCAGGCUAGGGGUCGAAUUGGAGCUAUAAACUGCUGGCCACAGCAAUGCAGGAUCUGAGCACUGUCUGCAACCUACACCACAGCUCACAGCUGGGUCCCUGACCCACUAGGCGAGGCCAGGGAUCAAACCUGCAUCCAUGGAUACUAGUCAGAUUUGUUUCUGCUGUGCCACAACAGGAACUUUAUUUGAUAAACAAACAAACAAACAAAAAACCCAACUGCUCAUUUACCUCUGUGAAAUGAAAAAAAAAAAAAGAAAAAAAAAACUACUUUUGGGGUGUGGCACCCAGAAAGCUCUGAGUGACACUGUAGGAAUCGUGGCCCAGGCUUGGUGAUGUGUCCUCCUGCUGUCCUUCCUACUGCUUUCCCGGGGGAGAGCUGCUAAAUGUUCUCAGCUUAUUGUUGGUAACUGUUCAACAGCCACAAACUUGAUGGCAGAUUCCUCUCCACUUGACCCCAAAGUCAUGGACGGUAUCAUUCUGUCUUCACUUCAACAACCUCGGCACAAUGGUCCUUCCAGGAACUCCUUUCCAGAAAUGAAAUCCCCGUAAUUUCAUUGCAUCAACAUGAUUUCCUACCCACCCCACUGCGUUCUCUUUUUUUGGUUAUUUUUUCUUUUUAGGGGCGCAUGGCAGCAUGUGGAGGUUCCCAGGCUAUGUCGAAUGGGAGCUGCAGGUGCCGGCCUACAGCACAGCCUCUGUGAUGUCAGAUCCGAGCUGCGUCUGUGACCUACACCGCAGCUCAGAGCAACGCCUGAUCCUUAACCCACUGAGCGAGGCCAGGGAUGGAACCUGCGUCCCCAUGGAUCCUAGUCAGGUUCGUUACCACUGAGCCACAGCAGGAACUCCCCUGUACGGUGUUCUUUACUGAGUAAAACCUUCCCACAAUGCUUUUGAGGUUCGGGUGGGUGGCAGUGAAACAAAGCACCAGAGAGUGUGCGAGCAUGCAGUGCACCACGAGCAGCGAUAAAAAGACGCGCGGUCGGGAAUACCAGGAAACACUUGGCCCUGAAAGGGUCACGAGCAGCCAAUGGAUGCUCUGAGGGAGGAGGCCUCUACACCUCGACUCUUAUAACGGAGUUAAUACAAUUCUUCAUUCCUCACCCCAAAGCAAAGACAGACUUGCAAACAAAACAAAGAAGGCGAGAACGGCCAUAAAAGACACCUUUGAUGACCUACCAAAGCCAGUGCCAAAACCAACAUCAAUCAUACGCCGAGUUCCCUACUUCAGCCCUCGUCUGGCAGAGUCUCGCCUGCUAGCGUCCAUAAAAAUGAAGUGUAACACUUUUCCAGAUUCUUAAGUCUCAGAAACGCCUUUUAUUGAGUGUGACUAUGCUGCCUUAUUAGAUAGGGGCUGGUUUAUAUUACAGACACUUGGGGCCUUUGGAGCAGAACUUGUAUUUACUGAAGCAAGGUCUUCCAGUGUGUGCAACAGACCUGCAUGUGCGAAGAAGCUGCCCUCGUCAUCAUUUGACACCAAAUCCUUCAGUCCACCUCGGUAUUAGAAACUAAGUCGCCUGUGUGCUGAUAAACUUGAUCAAUUCAAACAGUUUUAAAAAAAUUAUAUUAUAUGGGAGUUCCCACUGUGGCACAGUGAAACAAAUCCAACGAGGAUCCGUGAGGACACGGGUUCAAUCCCUGGCCUUGUUCAGGGGGUCAGGGAUCAUCCGGCACUGCCGUCUGCUGUGGUGUAUGCUACAGACGCGGCUCGGAUCCCGUGUUGCUGUGGCUGUGGUCUCUGUUUCUGAGUUCAGAUAACCAGUGUGUCUUUAUCCGUGGGCAUCCAAGGGAAAGACGUUUUGACCAUUUUCUCCAAAUAAUCCCUGCCUCAAUGCUGGAUGGCAGAUGGGUGCCCAAGCUGUCUGCUGAGGGCUCGCGCUCCCCAUCAGGGCCCACUUGAUCUGCCUGGACCUAUGGAGGGGUUAAUGCCCCAAAGCGGUUCCCAUCAGUGACCCUAAAGAUGCUCCACCUUCUUCUGUCCUCAGGUGGGAUGGGAGUCUGGGGUACGGCUGUGCUCCCUGCCAGAAUCCCCACCUGUGGGGUCACCUGAGUGCUAGCAAACACCCUAGGGGCCGCCCUCGUUCCCUGGUCUCAGCCCCAGGCUCCUCUCCACCGCUCCUCUGCCCACCCCCCAACAUAAACCUAUGCAUAGGAAUCUGCAUCUCAGGCCUUUCUUCCAGGGAAUGAAGAUCCAAGCAAGAAGUCGUUUUAAAGAAGGUCAUUAUAUACACGUGAAAAAGGAGAUGUCCUCCAGAAGAGAGAGGGAUAUGACAAAUCAGACCCUGAGAAUAUGAGAAUAGAUGUCUUUGUUAGCUACGGCUUUCUGUAACAUAUGACAGAGUUCUGACGAGGAUGAAGAAAAUGAUGUCACAUAUUAUCAGUGUGUGUGUGUGUGUGUGUGUGUGUGUGUGUGUGUGUGUCUCCAAGAUCCACAAUGGUAACAGAGCCAAGACUUAAUCCGAAACUAAGGGGGGAAAAAGUGACACAGGCAGAGGAAAGCAGGAAAUUCUGCAGACAGUGCAGCCGUCAGAUUCUUGCAGACAGAAAGGCAACUUCAUUUCUCAUUACUUUAGAAACUGGAAAAAAAGGAGAGAGGAAAUAGAAACAAACAACAGGGAGUUUUCUAGGAAGGAACCAAGAACAAAGUCUGUUUGGGGACUGAAUUAAUGCCACAAAGACAGAAAACCUGGGAGCUGGAAAACGCAAGUGCUGCCAAUUGGAAAGAGACGGCAGAGACAACUGCUCCCAGAGACAAAAGGUACCCGGCCGUUGAGAUGUGUGUCUUCAGGCUGAGCCAAAGGCGGGGCCCCCAGAUAUGAGGGUCAGAAUGUGCUCAGGGUGGCUCUGCCUUAGGCUUCUGCAGAGAUGGGAGCAAGCGGCAGAUGCAGACUAUCAGCUGGGCUUCUUUUGCGAGCGUACGUCUCCAUCAGCUGAGCUGGAGACCUUUUUUCUCUGUGGCCUGCGAGGUCCAGGGACAAACUGCAAUCUCUGCUAAUCAUGCCUGAGAUGAGAAUGGAAAGGGGUGGGGUCUGUGUCUGCCCCUGCCAACAGGUUCGGGCACAAAGAGAAAGGUCAGCACGUGUCCUCGUCACCAGCAAACAAGGGAGUCACCCACACGUCUUUACGGUGUCCUGAGAAAGCCUGGACAGAGAGUCCAUCUAAGUCACCCGGAGAAGGCCAGUUCUUUGCAGGAAGACAUGUCUCACCACAGAAACCAGAAGGAGAAGUCUGAGCAUACAUAUCCAGUCCAGAGGAGUCCUGGAGGUCAGCAAGGAAAGACGCUCUCAGAGGACCAGCACCACUGCAUACUUCUUGAAAGCCAAGACAUCAAACCUUUUGGCAACGCUGUCAGGCUUGGUUAAAGACAUGCGCGACCCCAACACUUCAGGCGACGUUCUUAGUGGCCCAGCGAAGGGCUUUUCCAGGAACAAUCCUGGCUCAUGCAAAGUCUGCUGCAGGCAUGACUCCGUCAAUGUUUCUAGAACACUCACAGAACUUCCAGAACCGGGAGCAAAGGUCACCUGCCGUGCGACAGAGUCCAAAGAAGGACUAGGGGACUCUAGGUUUAGUUCUCAAUGACCCUGACGCAGGCAGAGGGGCCGGAGUCACGGAAACUUUAGCUUGGACGGUUGUAGCCAGAUACGGAGGGGAACCGGAGGACUGGGAAUUCAGCAAGGGGAGAUGGUGGGCGUGGUGGCAGGAGGGGCGUGACGGCAGGGGUGCGCCUCCUCUCAGACGCUUCUGACCGAGGCAAUGUGAACAGAGACUUGGUCAUGGGUGGCAGGUGGGACAGAAGUAAGGUGACAGAGCUUGCUGGCUGUCUCAGGCCAGGAGACCCCCUGGAGACAUGGGCCCCCUCACUGGUUUGGAAGCCGACAGCACUUAUGACUUGAACGCAGUCAGAACCCAGAUGGGGAUGAGAACCCAGGGUUUUAAGUGAGAGUCACUCACCCCGUGUCUGGACUCACUGAGGUUCCGCUUCGUCACAUCUCCCAUAGAAGGAAUUCAGCGGAAGACAAAGCGCUAGGCAAGGAACAGGUUUACUAGGACAGGAUGCUUGUGAGACAUGCAAGCGGGCAGGCGAGGAGGCUCUGCCCCGAGGGUCCGGGGGGCUCCAGUUUUAUUAUCCAGGGGGAAGGGAGGGUCGGAGGAGCCGCUGCUCUUUCCUGGAGCCGUCGCGCCUCCUUGGUAUCCGGUAAGACUACUGACCCUAGAAGCUCAGACUGGGACUGUCAUGGUGGUUCUUCACAUCAGCAGGGAGCGGUCCUCAAACUUCUGCCCUGGGUCUGGACCUGAACGCAGGCCGCCCCCCAGCGCCCACCCAACGACCUGAGGCGUAUCUCGCGCCUCCACCUGUCCAGCAAGUCUGCCUCAUGCUGACGCUCCUCUUGCGCAGUUAUUAACUCACAGCGGUCUCCCCAAGUCCCCUCCAUGUCCCUCUCUAUCUAUGCUCCCUUGUGGGCACUUCCACACCCACCUGUGCAACUAUCCUCCUCCAUCCCUGUCCGUCUGGGGAGAUGGCCUUGGUUGCAGAGAGUAGCUGGUGUGAGAACGGGACCCAGAGGAGCCAGAUACUGAAGAUGCGGACUCAGCAAAACCUGAUCCAAGGGCUCUCCAGGACAAGCAGCAAAAUUCAAACCUGGGAAUUCUAGAGCUGUGUCUCCCCCCCGCCCCAUGCACAUCCCAUAAGGUCUGACCUUAUUGUCACUGUCCUCUCAGUCAAGCUUCUCUCUCUUCUGCAGUUCCUGCAGAAGAGACUGUGUGGCUGUGUUUAAACACACGGCUUUCAGGGUCCGACAGAUGGGUGGGUCCCUGGAGCUACUUGCCAUGUGGCUUUGGUAUCAGCCAUGCCACGCCAGCUUCUUCACCAGUGAAACAGACGUAAUAUGUUUUCAUGGCAUGAUUUGAUCUGUGUUUUGGCUCGAUGAAUGUCAGCCGUAGUCAUUUAUGCCUCAACCGGUGGCAGAGCCCAUUCCAUCUGCAAAUCCUAACCUUCUAAGG
rnacentral:lncRNA from 1 species